UCCUGGUGAAAAAAACACCCAAAUGUCUUACCUCCUGUCCUAGUCCCAGAGCCUACAAAGGUGAACCCACUGGGACUGGCUGGGAGAAAAGAGAAAAUUCUAUUCCAGAAGGAACUGUCUGAGGGAU
ensembl:snoRNA SNORD22 Small nucleolar RNA SNORD22